rnacentral:tRNA from 1 species
AAGAGUUAUCAAUUAUUAGCUGCUAACUAAUAAAUAAUGUUUGUCAUUUAACUCUUA